UACGUAGGUGGCAAGCGUUGUCCGGAUUUACUGGGCGUAAAGAGCGCGCAGGCGGUCGUUCAAGUCGCGUGUGAAAGCCCCCGGCUCAACUGGGGAGGGUCACGCGAUACUGAUCGACUCGAAGGCAGGAGAGGGUAGUGGAAUUCCCGGUGUAGUGGUGAAAUGCGUAGAUAUCGAGAGGAACACCAGUGGCGAAGGCGACUACCUGGCCUGUUCUUGACGCUGAGGCGCGAAAGCUAGGGGAGCAAACGGG
rnacentral:rRNA from 1 species